UCGGGCGGAAACCUCGUAUGUCCAAAUUUGGUCAAUUUCAUAUUUUUUCACAAAUCGAUGUUAUUGGUCAGUCUCCACGUGGGUCUGUUAUUUUUACAAAUUAUUACCCAAUCGAAAGUGUUGAAAAUAGCUUGUGAGCAAACCUCUUAACUCCAUUGGACACUUCAACUGUGUGUCAAACCUCGUAACUCCACCCCUUCUUCACUUGGCGCCGCUGCACUGCCUGGGAGCUUUGCGGCAUUUUUUCUCCUCAAGAUUGGAAGUCGCUGAGCAACACGUCCUCUGAGGUAAAUGUCCUUAUUCAUGAUUUAGUUAUAUCAAUUAUAUAAUAACAGUUUAUAUAUUAUAUAACAGUUUUAUCUCGAUCGAAGUAAUGGUAGUGCAAGUGUAAUGUAGUCUAAUUAUGUUGAUUUCUGAGGAUGCUAGAUUUUUCUUUCUGCUAUGUCUUUGCAUUAGACGGUAAGUUAGCUAAGUUAACUUAUCAUGUUGAUUGAAAUCUUCCAUGGUAUUGUUUCUGACGAGGAAAUUUAAUUUAAACCGCAAAAAUUGCCUGUCGUUGACUUAGUUAGCCGCUAUGUCACGUUAUUGGUUUUGUCAUCAUGUUAGCUGCUAGGUGAGAUAGGCAGCUGUGAUUUUCGUGGGGCUUAAAUAAAAAUCUCUCGACCCCUGCUAACGCUAGUUCUGGCACUCAUUUGAGGAACAACAUAAUAAUUUAAUGUGCUAUGUCAGGAUUGUAGCUUACAAUGUCAAGGCAUUCCGUCAUGUUCAUCACUUUAAGCAAGCUAGCUGGCCUCUUGCCUUGUUAUCAUACGUAAACAUGCCGUAUAACUUAGUGAAACGAUCAUUUGACCUUUAUUUUAUUUUUUGCAGCAACCAUGUCUGUGUCCUUAAAGGAGCUCUGUCAGAUGGUCAAUGUGCCAUAUGAUCAGGCAAUGGCCCUAAUAUGACAGUGAGAGCUCUGAUGGAGAUAGUGUAACGUUAGAGAGAGAGGAAGCAACAGUGGUGGAGGAUACAGUGGUGCAUGCUGAUUUAUCUGGUGGUCUGGAGGAAGAGGAGGCCUCACUCCUGGCUCCAGAGCAGGUGCAGUUUGACACGGAUUUCUCUGGUGGUCUGGAGGAAGAGGAGGCCUCACUGCUGGCUCCAGAGCAGGUGCAGUUUGACACGGUUUUCCAUGGUGCAGGCGAUGAGGACUCGGAUGCACAGCAUUCAUGCUCAGAUGCUGAGGAAGACGCACCUCCAAGGAAAAGACUGAGAGCUUACAGAUCUUACACCGUGUCCUAACUACACGCGAUGUGACGCGACGCCGCGUCACGUAAUAAAAGGUACAACAACAAUGGAACGAUGGACUUCAAAAUCAACCACUCUGAUUACUGGCAUUCACAUCCAAGUCACCAACUCCGAAACUCCACCUCAGACAGCCACACAGUCACCCCCACUCUAUUCAGGCCGCCUGAAGAUCACAGUGCUGAAAUUCAAGACCUGAAGGAAGUCAUCCCAAAGGACUUUCACAGCUUUUACGACAAUUUACUUCACUAGCUUAAUAUAGGAUGCAGUAUUAAAGGAGAACUGGCAAAAUGAUCCUGGGGUGUAAUAACACAUUGGUAUCGAGUUUUAU